CUUGGAAACCCCAGGACUUCUCCUUUACCUCUCCAAAGCAGAAGAGCUCUCAGCAGUGACCUUGAACCAAGAGCGUACAAAGCCCGAGGAAUCAUCUGACUUCAGAAGGGUACAGAACCCAGCUUCAUGCCUGGAAGGAAUUGUAGUGGCGAUCGUACAUGCUUCCUCCGUGACUUACAAAAAAACAAUCCCUCCCCACCACCCUUCCUGUAGACUUUUGGCUUCAGUCGAUGGCUUCUCCGAGGCUAGUGAGCGAGGCCCAGUGGAAACCGCUGUAUCAGAGAAUGGCCAGCACAGCAGAAAAUCAAAGAAAUGAUCAAGUCCAGUUGGAGUUUCAAAGAAGGCUUUGGAACACACUGGGGGGAAACACAGGAUACGGAAGAGCCAAGCAGCACUUGGGCGUUACACCCCAAUAAACCCUAACUCCAUCUCUGCAUCUGCUUCCCGGGGAGCCCACUCUAUACACAAACCACGGUGACUGACAGGUGUUCCAGAAAGAGACAAGGAUGCUAGGAUAGCAGUGGACUUGGCGGAAGAGGACAACGUUAGCUGGAGGUCAAGUGCACCCACCGUCCCCGAGAAGGUGACAUUGGAGCAGAGACAGGAAGGAGAAGGGAGCGUCAGUCAUGGCCUGAGGACCAGGGAGAGGGCUCCAGGUGGUGUGGGUUGGGAGAGGCUGAGCAGCCGAGUGAUGGGAAAGCCAAUGGACAGGAGCCAGCAGGGCUCGUGGCCUCUUGAGCGCCGCCAGCGGGCCCUGGGGUUCUCCUUCCGGUGGCGUUGGACGAUAGCUCUUCUGUCCUCAGCGUCGUCCCCCUGGACAAACCCAGGUGUGACGAAACAGUGAAACACACCAGUCACUGGUAAUCGCAUCACGACUCAGGGCGUAUGAGCAAAAGUUAUCCCCGCAGUCAGGGCUGUGACCUACAUGAGACGCGCCUGUGGCAGUGGUCAGUUCUGGCCGCUUGGAAAACCGAACUGGAAUUGGAGAGACGGCAAACGGCGUUGCUAUUGAUCGCAGCGGGAUGAACCAUGAGAUGAACCACGGGAUGAUUUCAGGCAGGUGCCCUUCCACGGAGAGCCUGCAGCAGAGCCUGAGACACACACAACCAACGUGGAAUCUUGCUCUUGCAGGCACCACGUCUGCCUGUUUGCACCGUCUUCCUUAACUGUCGGUAACACACCAACAAAGUUCCUUAAAAGAGAGACUCUAACCCUUAAGAUGGCAGACUCUCCCCCACUAGCAGCCGUCCGGGCUGGCUGGUAGGGCCAGCUGGGGGGACAGACCCAGGCAAAGGGAGGAGGAUGGGCGCGAUGACCGCACCCGCCCCGCCUGCCCCAGGGAGGUCCUUUCCAGGCAAGGAUUCCUAUGAUAAUAACGUAGAAUGUGGCAGAGGGCUGCAUUUUAAUUAAUUUUAGUCCCUUUCAAGACCACAGUUAUUAUUAUAAAAACACUGAUAAUACCAAACACAUGUUGAAAAUACACAGCAGGCUGCAGCCCGGGAGACCCGGGGACGUGCUAAGUCAUAUGUCAUCUGGG